rnacentral:rRNA from 1 species
AUUGAACGCUGGCGGCAGGCCUAACACAUGCAAGUCGAGCGGAAACGAAGUGAGCUUGCUCCCAGGUGUCGAGCGGCGGACGGGUGAGUAACACGUGAGAAUCUGCCCAUUAGUGGGGGCCAACCCGGGGAAACCCGAGCUAAUACCGCAAAAUCCCCACGGGGGAAAGCAGGGGACGUUUUGGCCUUGCUCUGAGGGAUGAGCUAACGUCGGAUUAGCUUGUUGGGGAGGUAAAGGCUCACCAAGGCGACGAUCCGUAGCUGGUCUGAGAGGACGAGCAGCCACAUUGGGACUGAGACACGGCCCAGACUCGUACGGGAGGCAGCAGUGGGGGAUCUUGGACAAUGGGGGCAACCCUGAUCCAGCCAUGCCGCGUGUGUGAAGAAGGCCUUCGGGUUGUAAAGCACUUUCAGCAGGGAGGAAGGCUGUGGCCGAAUAGGUUGAAGUACUUGACGUUACCUGCAGAAGAAGCACCGGCUAAUUUCGUGCCAGCCGCCGCCGUAA